CUCUGUUUGGCCUUUGUACGCAGCUACGAGAAGGCGCUCUGAAAGUGCAGCGACCGCAUCUUGCUGGCUCAUGAAUUAGGAAAGAAAGGUUUUCAGGGAAGCGGUAGACAAGUUCCUUCAGCUCAACACGAAGUCACUGGCCCGGCCUGGCACCCAGAGGUAAAGAAUAGCAGAAAAAGAGAGAGGAACUCUCGCAAACCCAUCCUGCUCCUGCUCACUGGGUCAUUAGAAACAAAACAGAUCUGGUGAAGGGUCUGCUGUAAAGCAGCUUGAUUUUCACGGACUGCUCCCUCCUGCCAGCAGAGGACCUGUAACACUGCCCCGAUUGAAGUCAGGGAACAAUUCACAGAUCGGAGGAACAUUUCUGAAUGACGCUCAGAUGACAGAGAAACGAAGUUUGCAUAAUUUCAGCAGUAAUGCAAGAAAAGAUGAGUGUGCGUGUUGUAAGGGAGGGAGGGAUGCAGAAAGGGUUGAAAUCUGUAAUAAACUGCCUCCAAGAAAACAGGAAAAUGCUUGCUUUGUGGGAGCAGCGGAGCCCAGACACUCCACCCUCCUCGGCAGAGAGUUCCAGCACAGUGACUGCGGCAGCACAGGAGACAAGGGUCUGGCUGAGCAGCUGUUCCCGACGUUUGUCUCACAAAUACUCCUCUGAACAGUCUCUGCCGGGGAGGGGGAAGGGAGUAAACAGGGAACUGAGCCCCUUCAGAAGCUGUUCUGAGUGCUG
rnacentral:lncRNA from 1 species